GAUAAGAUGGCUGAGGUUAGGCGGUAGAUUGUAAAUCUAUUAACGGGGUGUUUUCCUCUCUUGUCA
rnacentral:tRNA from 1 species